rnacentral:lncRNA from 1 species
AGCUAAGGAGUAAGGCUUGCAAGGUGUUACCAUUUUGAUAGUCUCGAUAUUCUGAUCAGGAUGUGUCCAUAUAGAUAUCAGUAGAGGUCGGAUGCUUGCGCAGCUAUGACGAAAAUUUCGAGCAUCCACAGGAUUCGAUCCAAGUAAGAAGAGAGAUUGCGGUUCAGGUAUAAUCAAUCUUCCUUUUCUAUUUUAAUUUCAAAUCUAUUUAUGAAAUUUAUUUAUGCAUAUUAUUUAAUCCUUAGGUGAUUUAGAUUUGAUCUACAUGCUUUUAUAUGAAAAUAGUUUUCAUAUUUGCUUCCACUAGGUUAAAGUAACCGACAAAAUAUUUUUUGCAUGCCUAAUCACCUGAAAACCAACAAAGAGAGCACUUAAGGG